ACAGAUUUAUCUAUUCUUGUUUACUCUAAUUGCAAAGUAACAGUCACCAUUGCUUUAAUUAAGCUGCCUUUUCUUGAUUGCUUUAGACUUAAUUCCAAUUUCUAGGAGUUAGCUGUCCAUUCUUUGUUCCUUGCUAUACUUUUCUAUAAGAAGCUAGUUCACAUUGUUCAAACCUCAUAAGACUUUUCCAAUACGGAAUGAAGUCUGGAUUUCUUUCAAGUCAUUGGUAAAAUUCCUACUGACUUUCACAGGAUUUUUGCCCACACAGAUUUCAGUAUAUGCCAUCUGACUUUAUUUAAGACCUCAUUAAAGUUUUAAAUCUGCCAAAGCUGUAUCCAAAGCUGUAUUUUUCUGAUUUUUCUCAUCAUUGUCCUUCCUUUCAAAAAGAAUAAAUGCAUUUGCAAUGCAUCAAGAGCCUUUCUACAAUAGUACCUAAGAAAUAGCCUCUGCCACCAGACAUUUGCAGCAAAACUGUGUUAUUACAUUUAAAUUUCCAAGUCUCAGUAGCCAGCAAGUUACUAGAGUUCUAUUAUAGUUGUGAUACAUGAACUGCACAUUGUUAUGGUAAUGACUUCUUUUUUCCUUCCCUUUGAAGUAGCAGUGUAAAUACAAAGGAUAUCACAUUGGUCUUGGAAUGAUACCUUCUUUACUUCAACUCUGUGUACUGUGCAGUAAUCACAAUUGCUCAAGAAGGAAUUAAAGUGCAUUAGAGCUCCACGUUCACUGUUCCUGCUAGCUCAACAAUGGCCAAAGUUAACUCAAAGCAUUAACUUCGAAACAAAUUAAAAGAAAUAUAAAAGAUCCUUUACUUGUCCAUCAACUGUGAUGCUCAAGAAGCCAGUCUUCAGGUUCAAGUGUGACACUGAGGUAGAAUCCAAACCUACACAAUGGCACUUAAAAAGCACCAUAGUGGUUACAAUGGUGGUUAAGAAAAAUAACAUUGUUUCUUCAUAUAGUCAUCAUAAAAUAUUACAGCUGACCAGAUGGUGGAGCAAUUACAUUUCCAUAGUACUAAAUGGCUAUUUAGCUUAUCCACUUGUGAACUGUUAAUUAAAAUUGGGAGAGAUAUCAUUUAUAUUCAAAGGGAAGAAAGAACUAUAUUGGACAUGCUUAAACAAAGACUCACAAAUUUUAUUCAACAAGAGAUCCAAUUCUUUUACCCUUCCACUGACCCCACUAGGGAACAAACAAACAAAAAGUCAUUGACAAUAAGGCUGUGGUAUAAACUGAUGAAGAGUAGGCGAUCCAGGGAGCUGAGCAAUCCUGAGAGCACAUGUGCACAACACAUCUUGUUGUUUGCUGCAAACAAGCUGAACCCCUCCAGCUGCAUGGGUGAGUACAUGGUGCACUGAAGAUCACUUGCACUCGGAAGGGGAAGCUGCUGUGUGAAUGCAGCCCCCUCCCCCAGGACCAAAUAGCACUGUCACUUACACAGCAUUGUGAGAUCAGGUCAGACUUGUGUGGGUAUUUAUACUAAUUCAUCUGUAACACUGAGAGUUUGUGGGUUCAGCUUUAUGCAGUAGUUCAUCAAUGUGCUAUUAAAUUCUGCUACAAACUAAUGAUUAAUUUAGCCAAACAGAUAUACAGUUCAAAGUACUUAUCUGUGAAGGUAAUUAUAUUCCUGUAUUGUUCUAGAGUGAGUUCUUGCACCAUUGCCUCGAUUUGGGUACACAAGAUUAAAUUCAUUAAUAAACAAAGGGCUGAAGUGAACAAAGCAGGGAAGAUUUUUAGGUAGAAGCAAUUAGGCAAUCUAAUUUAAAUGGGAGGAAAAAAACAGACAAUGCUCCUUUAAAACUGAAACACAGGACAGCAGAGAUAAGUUUCGUGUAGCUUAGUGCAUUCACUUUAAUCUGCCCUCGUUAGUCAAUUCAAGUAAACUUUCAUGAGCUCCUCUAUGUAAAUGAAACCUUGAUCUUCUGAAGACUGUGGUAACGCACAUGCUGUGAUAUGCUGGAACUCCUCACCUCCUUCCUGGCUUCAGCUGAGGCUGAGCCCUUUUGCAGUGCCACUCCUUUGAAACAGAUUUCCCCCACCACUGAGUAUAGUGCUCCUCAGAACUAGAUGGCAAAUGCAAUGCACACACUCUCUGGUGUGCUUGGAGCUAUGCACUGUGUCCCUUCUCCCUCUUCUUGGUGAAUCUUGAUCCUAAUUCUGCUGGAUUGAAGCUUUCAAGCCCUCUGUUCUUGAGUCAGGCAGUUUCUGGGCCUCCUCUCUGCCUAUGAAGCUGGAAAGCACAGACUGUUUUUAUUGUCUGUGAGAUUAAAAAUGCCCCAAACAGCUUGAGCAAAAAAAUGUAAAGAAAAAGGAGAGAAAAGAAGGUUGAUGUCUCAUUCACCAUAAAAUGACCUCAGGCUUUAGUAGCCCCAACACCUAACACAAGCUUGGCAGUGUGGGUUCAUUGAGAAAAAGCAGGUUUCAAUAGCUGAAGUGGAGUUUGCGGUCUCUUAGAAAACUUAAGAUGCAAACUGUUUUUAUUGGUUACCUACUGGGGGUGCUCAACAUACAUUACUGACCAUUUCUGCCCACUUAAUUUUUUGCUAUCUUUAUGUCCUUUUCUUGUUAAAUGUAAAAUGUUUAAGGGAGCCACAGAAGAAAUGACCUAAGUACCUAUGUACAGUAACUGCACUUGCUAUCUAGGAAGAACUGACCAAGUAUGUAAUUUUCAAAUUUUAUUCUUCAAAAGACUUCUGAAGUAUAUUCAUUCUUAUCCAAUAUGAAAGACCUUUAAGAUAAAAUGCUCUCUCUUAGUGACAGAUCUUCAGGACUUGCCCUUCCUUUCAGAUGAGAAGAUCAGAGCUGUGUGCCCAUGGCUGCACCCGCACCCUGCUGUGCCAUCGCCUUGUCAGGACAAGAUCACAGUGUGUCCACUGAGUGCGAGCUCUGCUCUUUUAGAAGAUUGGCCUGGUGCUAGACUUCCCAAGUCAUCUCCAGGGCUGUCAUUGGAGUGUUGGUGACAUCAGCAGCCUGGGUAUGUGAAUCAGGGCACAGAUGAAUCAGUGCAGGCAGAAUUGAAAGCAGCUCAUUCCCUCAACUAAAACCACUGCUCUUUGGAUUCUCCUCUAUAAAGAGAUCCAUUAUUCACUGCUCUUUGGAACCAGUUCGUACUAUGGUCUACGGAACACUGAAGAAAGAAAACUUGAAGAAUUCAAAGCGGAGGUACAGAAAAAACAGGCAGCAAUGAAGUAUGUGGCUCUUAGUACUUUAGGAGAGGCUGUUGAGCAAGAGAUCCUUUGGAAUGUGGUUUGGCUGUUAAUUCUUGAUUUUGCUAGUGUUGUGUUGCUUCAGACUUUUCAGAAGUGUGUACAUAUCUAUGUUUGAAGCACUGUGAAAGGAUCCAACUGCUUUGCUGGUUAGGUUUCAAAGGCUGAACUGCAAAGUGUAGCUCUGAAAUGUGCCUCAGCCAUUAACUCAAAUCAGAAAUGUUGCCUUUGCACACCUGCCCUAAGUAUACAGAAGAAAAACAUAACAAAUUUUAACACAGUGGAAUUUUAUGAUCAUCCCAUGCCAGCUGUUUCAUCUUUUGACUCAAACAAUCUAUCAUGGCCUCAGCCUAAAGAUGAGGAACAUUUAAGACUAUCUUUGUCCGGGUUGAAACAAACUGCAGAAAGUAAACUGCUCCUUUAUGACUAGAUACAUUAAAGUUGGCCCUUAAGUAAUUUAAAGUUAAGACGAUUGUCUUUGUUAAGGUUUGUAGGGAUCAAGAGCAUUCUGCUAACAGCUAGUGGGUCUCAGUUGCCCAAAGUUAUUAAAGGAUUCAGAGUUCAGCUGCAGCUAAAACUUCUUGUUUUCCUGGAUAUUACAGAUUAGCAGAUUUUAAAACAUAGUUAUAGGAUGGUUGCUUAAGAUGGAUUUUCGAGCAUGCUAUGAAAAGUCUGCACAUGCUUAACCUAAUGCUGUGGCCAGAUCCAAAUCACAUCAGUUCUGUGAUUAAAACAACAGUGCAAACCUGUUAAUUUAGGUACUGGUCACCCAUCCAAGGUUCUGCACAUUGCAUGCCCAGUGUACCCAAGGGAUUUUAGAAAUCUGCAGCUUCCAAAGACACAAGUUUUAGGGAAAUGGAGAAAAGCUGAUGAUGAUAAAGGCAAAGAUUUGUAAACAUUACCUGUGAUUAAGUUUUGGGACAGGCAUAGGAAACAAGCUCACAGGACUCAAGGGCUCCUGGAGGCUCUGAACAAGGUGCCAGACUGAUGGGACUGCCUGCAUACUCAUAUUAAAGCAAUGCCAUGCAAGAUGCCACUGACACCUUGGGAAAGAAAGGAGAGGAAAGCCCGACUACUACUGAGGCCUCAUUAGAGAGUGUACAAGAGAUCAAGGACAUUCAAAGUUCUCUCCUGAUACAGGUCCAUCUGCAUGGAUGACAUACAGUCCUCAUGGCAUUCCAACUUAUCUUGGAUAAUUCUUGAUAUUCUGGCUCCUGGGCCUUCCAGAUCUUCCCAGGAGUAUUAUCUGCAUGUGACUGUCCCAAAGCCUCAGUCCAGUACAACAACCAUUCCACUGCCUGAAGGCACUGGUUCAGUUUGUGAGAAAUUCUCCCUUGAACAAUGAGUAUGCACAACACUUGCCAAACAGUAAUGAACUACUUGAUUACCUAAAUGAGAAAAUGGGAGGUAGGGUAUGAUGGAUCUAGUGGACUGCCAGAUUGUUAUUAAAACUGGGUUUAGAAGUGAUGUCAUUUCAGUGUCAUCUCUUGGCAGACUGCCUAUUCAGAGGACCCUCGUAGGGGAUCACACUGGGGGCUUCUGUAGUGUGGAGAGCUGUGAAUCCAUGUGAGGGGUAAUAUUUCAUUAAUGGGAUGUUUGUCUUUUCUGGAUGUGUGGAAGAGCGAUGAGACUUCGCCACUUCUCUUCUCACCUUGUGUAGGGGGGGCAGCUAGAUGUGGUUGAUGCCUGCAGGAGCUUACAAUCAUGACAGAGAAAUCGAUGUGUUCCAAUACAGCUUUGAGGGAUGGGCCAUUGUUCUUGUCCCAAAUGAAAAGACAGUUGUGUGUUUCUUAGUUGUCAUAUACUUAUGUGAUGUGUUUAAAAUAUUUUAUAUCAUAUAUAAAAUAAAUAUAAAACUAUUGAGCAACUUGACUCAGAGGGAAAUAAAUACAUUUGCCACAUUUAUCAUGAUGUACAUAUUCUGACAUAGCAUACAUCAGGUGCAGAUAUUUCCUUAAAAAUAUCUGUCUUCUUUGGUUUUGACUGUGAAUGCAGUUAUAUUUCCAAGUAAGUACUUGCUGAUGUUUUAAUUUCUUCAGCACUGAUGACAUAAAAGAUCUUUGUACUGUGUAUGUGGCUUGCUUAGGAAAAUUCCACUUGAACUCUGGAGCAAUCUGAAGAAUUUUGUCAGAAAGUUUGAGAGGGGAGAAUUUUACUUUGCACUCUCUUGACUGCUGCCUUUGAAGACAGACGUAAAGCUAACACUGGUUUAAAUGGAAACAUAAAUAAAACAAUUCUGAAAAUUCUGAGCUCAGAAAACUUCAGCUUUUAAUUCCACUGUUACUGUGUGUACUACAGCUUAAAAAGAAAGCGUUGCCUACUUAGGUUUUCAUUAAACUCAUUUAUUUCAUAUCAGUUAAACUCAUUAUUGUAUUUUCCAAUGAGCAACAAUGUUUUGUUUAAACUUGUCAAGUCUGCAAAAAACCCUAAUAUUUUCAAGAAACUGAAUUUAGGAAAAAUAAAGAAAAUGCUGCAGUACUGUUGGCACAAAUUGUUUUCACAUUUAUGCUUAUUUGCAUUUUGAGAAGUGAUACAGAAGAUGAAGCAGUAUUAACUUUGAAAUAAAGUA